rnacentral:rRNA from 1 species
GACGAACGCUGGCGGCGUGCCUAAUACAUGCAAGUUGAGCGCUGAAGGUUGGUACUUGUACCAACUGGAUGAGCAGCGAACGGGUGAGUAACGCGUGGGGAAUCUGCCUUUGAGCGGGGGACAACCUUUGGAAACGAAUGCUAAUACCGCAUAAAAACUUUAAACACAAGUUUUAAGUUUGAAAGAUGCAGUUGCAUCACUCAAAGAUGAUCCCGCGUUGUAUUAGCUAGUUGGUGAGGUAAAGGCUCACCAAGGCGAUGAUACAUAGCCGACCUGAGAGGGUGAUCGGCCACAUUGGGACUGAGACACGGCCCAAACUCCUACGGGAGGCAGCAGUAGGGAAUCUUCGGCAAUGGACGAAAGUCUGACCGAGCAACGCCGCGUGAGUGAAGAAGGUUUUCGGAUCGUAAAACUCUGUUGGUAGAGAAGAACGUUGGUGAGAGUGGAAAGCUCAUCAAGUGACGGUAACUACCCAGAAAGGGACGGCUAACUACGUG